GAUGAACGCUGGCGGCGUGCUUAAUACAUGCAAGUCGAGCGAAGCACUUUAACGGAAUUCUUCGGAAGGAAGGUAAAGUGACUGAGCGGGCGACGGGUGAAGGUACGCGUGAGCAAUCUGCCUUUCAGAGGGGGAUAACAGCCGGAAACGGCUGCUAAUACCGCAUAAUGCAUCGAAUUCGCAUGUUUUUGAUGCCAAAGAUUUUAUCGCUGAAAGAUGAGCUCGCGUCUGAUUAGCUAGUUGGCGGGGUAACGGCCCACCAAGGCGACGAUCAGUAGCCGGACUGAGAGGUUGAACGGCCACAUUGGGACUGAGACACGGCCCAG
rnacentral:rRNA from 1 species